rnacentral:misc_RNA from 1 species
UGGUUCUGGCAUCGAUGAAGAACGCAGCGAAAUGCGAUAAGUAAUGUGAAUUGCAGAAUUCAGUGAAUCAUCGAAUCUUUGAACGCACAUUGCGCCCAUUAGUAUUCUAUUGGGCAUGCCUGUUCGAGCGUCAUUUCAACCCUUAAGCUUAGCUUAGUGUUGGGGAUCUACUCUGAGCGGCGCUACCCGGGACCCCUUGCGGGGCUACCCGGUAGCGCCCUGUAGUUCCUCAAAUUCAGCGGCGGAGCUGUGGUAUCCUCUGAGCGUAGUAGUUACAUCUCGCUUCUGUAGGUGCCGCGGUGCUUGCCGUAAAACCCCCCAAUUUUCAAUGGUUGACCUCGGAUCAGGUAGGAAUACCCGCUGA